GACGAACGCUGGCGGCGUGCUUAACACAUGCAAGUCGAACGGAAAGGCCCUGCUUUUGUGGGGUGCUCGAGUGGCGAACGGGUGAGUAACACGUGAGUAACCUGCCCUUGACUUUGGGAUAACUUCAGGAAACUGGGGCUAUUACGGGAUAGUAGCUCCUGCUGCAUGGUGGGGGUUGGAAAGUUUCGGCGGUUGGGGAUGGAUUCCCGGCUUAUCAGCUUGUGGGUGGGGUAGUGGCUUACCAAGGCUUUGACGGGUAGCCGGCCUGAGAGGGUGACCGGCCACAUUGGGACUGACAUACGGCCCAGACUCCUACGGGAGGCAGCAGUGGGGAAUAUUGCACAAUGGGCGGAAGCCUGAUGCAGCAACGCCGCGUGCGGGAUGACGGCCUUCGGGUUGUAAACCGCUUUCGCCUGUGACGAAGCGUGAGUGACGGUAAUGGGUAAAGAAGCACCGGCUAACUACGUG
rnacentral:rRNA from 1 species